rnacentral:rRNA from 1 species
GACGAACGCUGGCGGCGUGCCUAAUACAUGCAAGUCGAACGCAGUGGGGACGGGUGAGUAACACGUGGGUAACCUCCCAUCAGAGGGGAUAACCCUUGGAAACGGUUCUUAUCCCGUUACUGAUGGUUGGCCCCGCGUUGCAUUAGCUAGUUGGUGGGGUAACGGCUCACCAAGGCCACGAUGCAUCGCCGACCUGAGAGGGUGAUCGGCAACACUGGGACUGAGACACGGCCCAGACUCCUACGGGAGGCAGCAGUAGGGAAUCUUCGGCAAUGGACGAAAGUCUGACCGAGCAACGCCGCGUGAGUGAAGAAGGUUUUCGGAUCGUAAAACUCUGUUGUUAGAGAAGCGGUAUCUAACCAGAAAGCCACGGCUAACUACGUGCCAGCAGCCGCGGUAAUUC